UGUAAGUGCAAAGGAACAGCAGAAUCCACACCAUAAUGAUAACGACAUGGAAGAUCAAUAUAGUUGGAAUCACUUUUCACAAUGAUGAUAGCCAUUCUGAAUUUAUUAUGCUUUAAAGAGUGUGAGCAUUUAAGGAAGUCGACAAAAUUAUGAACAGAAUGCACUGGUGUGGAUGCUAGUUUUGUUAUUGUUAUGAUUAACUCUUCUGGUUUGAACAGGCCUUCAUAGAUUAUUUUAGGGUAUGUUUUAUAAAAAUGUAAUUCCGCCUUGAAACAACAUGGAGGUGUCUAAAUGAUAGAAUUUCUUCCUUCACACAGUUCAAUUAGGUUGGAGUUGUUUUGAAUCUGAAAAGCUUUACACUUACAGUGCAGCUUUUACUGAUUUCAUAUCAAGUGUGUGACCAAACGGCAAGAUUGACUGAAGCUUUAAAUCGGGUUUGGCACUUUAACACCACUGCUGUGGUUUAUUCUGAGUUUUCUUGAUGAAUCACUUACUCCGAGGGUCCAACGACUGCGAGAUUGAUAGUCACGGGGGUUGCCAUGGAGACAAGACCAGCAGCCUCCGAUCACAUUGACUGUUGAUGAUGGCCGUAAUUUAAAAUAACAAGCUUUCCUGUGUUGCACCGGAAGGAUGAUUGCCCCGAUUAUGAUGACAUCUCCACCAUGCUGAGAUCUCUUUCACAAUUAUCCAUCAGAUCCUGCGCUGUGUGGCAUUCCUCUGGCUCUAAUCUGUCUCAGUGGGUCACACGGACCCCUGCUUAACCGAUAUCAGCUCAGCGGGCGUAUUAACUAUGGAUGACGUCAGGCUUUGCUGCAUGUUAUUCACAAGGGCACAGCCGCCCUUCUUCAGAGAUACAUCACUAAGCUGCUACUGUUCCUGAGCCUCGCUGGCUAACUGUGCCAGAGUCUCUGGCUAUAUUUAGCGCUGCCUGUUUGGUUUUGGGUGCAGAUUAAUGUGGAGCGAUGAAAAUGGGAGCGAGGGAUAUCCGAACCUCUCCGUUGAUGGAUUUUAUGGAGGAGCCUGUAGCCUGUGAUGGGAGUUAAAGGUUUAUCCUGCUGGCAUUAGUUGCUUCCUGGUGGAUCUUUUGGUGUGAGUCUGCAUCUCCUCUGCAGAGAGACGGUCUUCAGGAGUGGGCCGCUGUUUGUACUUCGCUUGAGGUUGACUGUGAGAGCGAGAGCAAGGCAUUCUGGGAAUCCCAGCCAGCCGUGGAUGUGGUUGAGUCUUAGCUAUCAGCAGCAGAAGAAAGGUUUAUCCAAUGCUGCCCCUCUGUAUACGGAAGCUUACCUCCAGAGGCAUCAUGAGUGGAUAACAGGUGUGUCCGGAGGCGGUGCAUAGGUCAACGGGUGGGAUCAUUGCAGUGAAUGGGCAGCUCUGAGUGGGAGGGAGGUGCUGUAAAUGAUGACCAGUCUUUUCCGCCGGAGUAAUGCGAACAGUAACCAUGGCAGUGGUACACGAGGGAGCGACGAUGGAUCACGAGAGCUCAAUAACAUAAGGCCUCCACAUCAGGUCCGGCGUUUGGAGUUUACCCAGGCUAUGGAUGACUUUAAGACGAUGUUCCCCAGCAUGAAGCAUGAGGUUAUUGAGUGUGUCUUAAGAGCCAACCAUGGUGCUGUCGACUCCACCAUUGACCAGCUACUGCAGAUGAGCCUGGACAGCAAGGCCACGGAUGACAGCUCGGAUUCUGAGGACAGCAUCCCUCCAGAGAUCCUGGAAAGAACACUGGAGCCGGACAGCUCAGAUGAGGAGCCUCCACCCGUCUACGCGCCGCCCUCCUACGACAUGCACAUCUAUGACAGAAAACAUCCUGCAGAUGUUCCAUCCACACCGCCACCCAGGUUCGAUGAUUAUCCCCCUCCUGGGCAUCAGCAGGUCGGCAGACACAGGAACUGGAAUCCACCGUUACUAGGCAACCUCCCUGAUGACUUCCUGCGUAUCCUGCCUCAGCAGUCAGAAAGUCUUCAGCAUUCUCAGAGCAACCUGUCUCAGCCUUCCUCCUCCUCCUCUUCCUCACUUUCAUCCCUGAUGCAGCUUUCAUCCAGCAGUAGUGCCCUGUCAGGUGGCGUUUGGUCAUCUGAACAGGACAGGAAGUUGAAACAAUACUUGGAGGAUGAGCGAAUAGCCCUUUUUCUGCAGAAUCAGGAGUUCAUGAAAGAGCUACAGCGUAACAGAGACUUCCUCAUAGCUCUGGAGAUAGAUCAUCAGAGGUGCGAGAAAGCACAGUGUGGUCAUUCAUCCGCUUGCACAGAGAACUCCGCCGAAGGUGAUAAUUGUGUCUCGGGGUCUGAGGAGGCCUGUUCAUCAGUCUCUGACGAUGCCUUAUUCCUGGAGAAACUCAAGCACAUGGGCAAAUCUACAAGGAAGAAGCUUUUUGAAAUUGCCAGAUCAUUCUCGGAGAAGACCAGAAGAAAGAAGUCCAAAAAGCGAGCUUUCUCCAAACACCAGUCAUAUCCUCACAUGUCCAGCCCCGACAGUCGCUGCCUGGAGUUUGCUUCUAUUAUUAAACCUGUAGUGUGUUUGGUCCUUGACUUCCUCUCAGUCAAGGCUCUGCAACCUCCAUCGUCAAUCUCCUGGAAGAAGUAGAGGGGCCGCCUUCGGCUGAGGAUGACAACAAACUUAAGAGACUUUCAGAAAGAGACGAAGGGGAGGAGUCAAAGGAAGUGAUGUCAUGAUGGAUGAAUCCUGGCCGGAGCUGCCGAUGUUGUCUGCUUUAGAGAGCCUGAUUCAACAGCUCUGAAGACUAAAGCGUCAUGAUGAUCGAGAUUUUACUCAUUAGUUUCCUGCAAUGCUUUAUUAAACCUGAACCAUAAAAUCAUCAUAGUUCUAUAUUGUUUGUAAUAUUCUGGUUCUACAGUCUAGUUUAGGACUGUCAUGUGGUGUAGCAGAUCUGGUGGUGUUUAGAAGAAUGCUGUGCUGGGCCUCGGGGCUCAGAACAUCCACAAGCACAAAACCUCAUUGCUCAGCUUGAUAAGAAAAUCUGUGUUUAUCUCAGGAGUAAUUUUAAUGGCCUGGAGUCUAUGUACAGUUCCUUUGAUGUUUAUAGAUAAAGCUCUUUUCAAUUCUCAUUAUCUUAUCUUAUAGGUUUUAUUUUGAUAACUUGGAGAUUGGUGUAAAAUGUGUUAUAAAAUUAAAGUUGUUGUGUUUUCAACCAAAUCACAAUUUAAAAUCAUGCUCAAGACUUCUUCACCAUUAAUUCCGGAAAUUAACAAACAUAUUUUAUUCUUAGUGUGAAGUGAGGUUCUGUUUUUUGUGUAUUUACACUGGGAUAGUAGGCUAAUUAUUAAAACUAAAUUGUAAUUUUCAGAGUUUAGAGCUGUCAGCUCACUGUAAAUUGAUAUUGAUUUUCAAAGGAUGAUGUAGUUUGUUAUUAAAUUACAUUUUGAGAGCAA